UACGAAGGGGGCUAGCGUUGCUCGGAAUCACUGGGCGUAAAGCGCACGUAGGCGGUUUGUUAAGUCAGGGGUGAAAUCCUGGAGCUCAACUCCAGAACUGCCUUUGAUACUGGCGAUCUCGAGUCCGGGAGAGGUGAGUGGAACUGCGAGUGUAGAGGUGAAAUGCGUAGAUAUUCGCAAGAACACCAGUGGCGAAGGCGGCGCACUGGCCCGGUACUGACGCUGAGGUGCGAAAGCGUGGGGAGCAAACAGG
rnacentral:rRNA from 1 species